rnacentral:lncRNA from 1 species
CUUUCUCAAAAUGUUUGUAUGUUUAUAUUUACAAGUGAAAUAGCUCCUCUGCUCCCUAACAUGGAAUGAAUUAUUCUGGAGGAAGUGAAUGAAAAUGUUGCAUGGAUGGGAUUUGAAGAAGAUGCAUAUCUUCUGCAACUAUUUCUUCUGUUGGACUCAUCAGCUCAUUGACAGCAUGAUGGAGCCAUUAAUGUGGUGCUUCUGACAAUCUUCAUUUCUUCCUGGAACCUCAUAUUUGAGAGAACAUAUUCUGUCUUCAACUACUUCGCUGGACAAGGCAGGAGAGGAAAUCACCCCAGGCAGAAUGUGGCUGGCAUAGCACACGCCACUGCCUUUUCUUAAGGGAAGGCUCAGCGCAGAAAUGCUCCGAAGACUGGGUGCUGUUCUUCUUGCAAGCUUCCACAUGGGGGCACAGACGGUUCACUCUUGCAAACCUCUCCGUCGGGCUGCAGGAGGAAGAAAACCUGAGCCUUAACAAGCACAGAUGUUUCUGGCACCUCUCUAUGUGUGGGAUGUGUUGCACCUCCAGAGCAUGCUGUUCUGCCCAGUGCCUUGGUACCCAGAAGGAACUGCAAGUUACCUGAACAUGUAUGUCCAUCUUCAUUUUAUUUUAUUUUUUUUUUGACUGGUGAGCAAAUGAAUUACAGCAUGUAUCCACUUUAUAGAGACACAGUAGUGCUUGUUAAAUGGGAAGGAAGACCUUGGAUUUCCUCACUUUGCCCACCACAGUGCACAAUAAAAAUUACACCCCUUGAACCUUCA